rnacentral:tRNA from 1 species
GUGGGAGUAGCUCAGUUGGUUAGAGCGUCGGAUUGUGGCUCCGAAGGUCGGGGGUUCGAGUCUCCUCUCCCACC